CUUCUGUAAUUGGUUGCGUGCUCUCCAAGUGUUGGGCGAGAGCAGCCAAGGGAUCCAACUGGAACGCAGGAUGGUUAAGAACCGUACUCAUUUGCUUUGCUUCUUUUAGUCUGAGAGCCAACAUGAAUGAAACAAACAAAUUUACAGUUUAGCUUAAACUCAGCUGGAGUUUGUUUCUGAGAAUUCUUCAAUUCAGGAAGGAACUCUGUAAGAGCGGAGAGGUCAUAUGGUUUCAGCUUCUUCUGACGGCUUCGAAGUUUCUUUUUCUGAAAACGUUACCAGAGAGUGGCCGAGAAUGUUGCGGCUCUGAGGCUGAGAAAGGCCGUGGCCGGUGCAGGUGGAAGGAGGGCUGCCGUCCCCGUCGCCAAGAGAGAAGGUAUGAGGUGUGUGAGUCUGAGAGAGAAGUAUCCAGAAAUAGUGAUUAUGUAUUUUAUUUUAUUUUUUCAUUUAAUAAACAUUUGAUUAUUUAAUUAGUUUUUUAAAACUUUUUACUAGGUAUCAAAAUUUUAUAAUAUUUAAUAUUCUAUUUUUCUCAAUUUAAUUUUUUUAAUAUUUUAUUAAGUCUCAAAAUUUUAUAAUAUUUAGUUUUCUCAAAAAAAAAAAAUUAUAAUAUUUAAUUCUUUUUUUUCAAAAAAGAAAAAUCCCUAAACUUAGAGCAUCUCCAAAGAGACAUCAAAUUUGGUGUUACACUAUCACCAAAUUUGGUGUCAAAAAUUAUUUCUACUCCAACCACAACACCAAAAAUUACACUAAAAAAAAUAUUCCUUAUUAUUAUAUUAAUUUUUUAAUAAAUUAAAAAAAUAAUAUCAUAUUAAUUUUAAUAUGUGUUCAAUUUUAAAAAUUAUUUUUAUUGUUUAAUAUAAAAAAAUAAAAAAAAAUAUAAUAAAUUUUUACUUAAAUUAUAAUUAAAAAAAAAUUAUGAUAUUCACAUUUAAAUUUACACAAAAAUAAAUAUUAUAAGGUGCUUUUACAAUGUAUUCUUCUAAAUAAAAGAGUCACGCAACAGAAAGUUUGAAUUUUAUUUUCGGCAUCUUAAAUUUUUUUAAAUUUUUUAAAAUUUUGCAAGAUGUUUUAAAUAACUAUAAUGUACACGACCAUAAAAAAAAAAGACUAAACAAGUCUCCCGAAUGCCGAAACAGGUAGGAGUAAAUCAGUGCACCACUUUUAAAGAAGUGCUUUAUUUUCGGCGUAUUAAAUUUUUCUAAAUUUUUUUAAAUUUUACAGGAUGUCUUAAAUAAUUAUAAUAUACACUACUAUAUAAAAAAAAUAGACUAAAAAAGUUUGUUGGGUGCCGAAAUAAAUAGGAGUAGAUUCGUACAUCACUUUUAAAAAUGUGUAUUAAAAAAUUUCCCAAAAAAUAAUUCUUAAUUUUACAAAUAUAAUAAUAUAAAUAUUAAUUAAAUUAUUAAAAAAAAAAAAAAAAAAAAAAAAAAA